rnacentral:rRNA from 1 species
UACGUAGGGCGCAAGCGUUAUCCGGAAUUAUUGGGCGUAAAGAGCUCGUAGGCGGUUUGUCGCGUCUGCCGUGAAAAUCCGGGGCUCAACCCCGGACUUGCAGUGGGUACGGGCAGACUAGAGUGUGGUAGGGGAGACUGGAAUUCCUGGUGUAGCGGUGAAAUGCGUAGAUAUGUGGAGGAACACCGAUGUCGAAGGCAGCCCCCUGGGUUAACACUGACGCUCAUGCACGAAAGCGUGGGGAGCAAACAGG